CUUGCUUUAACAGUUGUUACUCAACCAAGCCCGUCAGUUUCUCAGCCUAGUACUUCACAGAAUGAAGAGAGAGCUCCUGAACUGCCCAAACCAAAGAAGAACAGAUGUUUCAUGUGCAGAAAGAAGGUUGGCCUUACAGGAUUUGACUGCCGAUGUGGAAACUUGUUUUGUGGACUUCACCGUUAUUCUGACAAGCAUAACUGCCCAUAUGAUUACAAAGCAGAAGCUGCAGCAAAAAUCAGGAAAGAGAACCCAGUUGUGGUGGCUGAAAAAAUCCAGAGAAUAUAAACUAACCUACUUAUGAAAAGACUGACUGACUUUGUUUUAUUUUAAUAUAUCCUAGGAAAACAUUAAAGAGCAGAUGCAUGGCCAUUUUCCUUUGAUGUUCUCCAUAGUUUUACUUUUAGUCUUGUCUGUCUUAAUGAUAUUUCAGAAUAUUUGGGUGUUUGUUACAGGCAGAAUUAGAUAGAUACAGCCCUUGAAAAUGUAUAUGCCCUCCCCAGAAUAUAAUUGGAUGAUCAGAACCUGCACAGGAAUACACGUGCACAGAGGACAAACUCUAGUUCACAUGUGCCAAACAGAUGUAUACUAUCUGCAUGUUUGCAGCAGAUCUGCCUUUUGAGGAGUGUUUGGAGUGUAUAAUCUUUGGCUAGUGUUAUGUGCCUGUUUGGGAGAAGGAUACAUCGGAAAGGUUUGCAGUCUACUUCUAUCAUUUAAAAUCUCAUUCUAAUUUUAGUUUCCACACUCCAUUGUUUUCCAGCAGAACGUAAGCUAUGUAGGCGAGUCCGUCUUAAGAAACAGUUGCUUAACAAUUGCAGUGGGAAAAGCGAAACAAUUGGACAUGUAUGAGAAGAGAACUCUUUUGGAAACAAUUACAUUAACUUGAGAAUCAUGGAAAAUAGGUUCCCAAAGGAAGUGUCCUGUAAGGAACUUAUGAACUGGCCGGCAACAGAGUUGUCUGCUUUUCCUUGCAUAGCUAGAAAUGUUGUGUAGCACAGUAUUGUAAGAUUGGUUUACAAAACAAAAGCUACAUAUGUUUUUUAGACAUACCACAGCAGCUCAAGCGACACACGUACAUCUGAGUAAGUUGCAGAAGUAUUUGAACAGUUUAUUAUUCAUGUACUACUUACGUUCUGGGUAAGUUCUAAUGUGUUCUGGGUUCAAAAGAGUAUUAGGAGCUUUUUUAUUUUUCCUGAUUUUGAAAUGUAACAAUUGCACCAUUCUGCAUGGAAAACUGUACCCAACAUGGCUGCUGUAGACUUAAGUGGUAGCUGGAACCACUCUUGGAGGGCUGCUUUAUCAUUUUUAAUUGUACUUGGGUCUAGGACUGUAGUGUUCUUGGGUGUAUUGCAUGGGCUGCAUUAUCUACAGCAUUGUACAAUAACAACUCUAGAAAAGGCAGUAUACUUCACUGAUGCUUGUCUGGUAAUAUCACUUCUGUGUUAUAAUGGAAGGUUUUUUGUGAUGUAUGAAACUUGUGUUUUUUAUAUAAACGAGUACAGUUUAGACUAGUGUUGUGGUAAUGCCUGUUCUCAUCUGUAAAUAGUUACGUAUGUACACAAGGCGCUAAUUCUGAUUUCUGUUGCAGUGUUCAGUCUUAGUUCUUACUUCACUAUUAAAAGCAUCAGGUUUUUGCUUUAACUUUCUUCUUUCAAUUGAGUUAUUAGAUAUGCAAACAUGUACAGAUAGUUCAUAUUUAUGUAUUGCACAUAAUCAUGCUACCCAGCAUCUAUGCUAUAUUGUAUUAUGUAAAUAAUAAAAAUCAUGUACAGAAGGAAAUACUUCCUUUUGUGAUAGUUCAUUGGUUUUAGUUAUUGCCCUAACCUGAAGUUGACCUUGUGGAGAUUGGGCUACAAAGUUAGUUCUAGUUUUGUAUAGAUGUUGUCUUUUUGCUUCAACCUGCCUAUUUCUAACCUUUGUUUCUUAUAUUGACAUACUAACUUGUCUAAGAUGGCUUGUUGAGGUCAGAGAAGCAUGAACAGCUGGAAUACAGAUAACUACUUCAUGGCCAGACAAGAAUGUCAGAAACGACGACGCGCUUAAAGGGAACAAAGCAAAGCAUUUGCAGUGAACUUUAAAGGCUUUUUUUUUUUCUUUUGCCUACAAAUGUUAUUUCCAGCGGAUCAGUAGUAAUAGAGCCAGUACAGUGACUGCGUUGUUCUGUCCAAAUCUUCAUCAGCAGGCCUGGGCAGAGUUGUUGGGGUCUGAAUAUGGAUGUCAAAUAUGCCAGACCUACCCUUCCCAAUGACAAAGAAAAGUACAGAGCAUACAGCACAUUUUGACUUGGAAGAAGCUAUCUUCAUUGCUGGAUUAAAAUAUAACAGUUGCUUAUACCAGAAAUGGAUAAUGUGCAUCCCACCAGUCAGCUGAAAGUAACACCCGAGUGAUAAGUUCCUGCUGCUGCCACUAUAUAUACUUCUGAUAAGGGAACAAGGGCAUGCUUUGGGCCUUCAUUUGACAGGAUAAACUUUAUGACUUGUAAUUGUGGAACUGCUUUAAAGCACUGAAUUUUUUUCCACCUUUUGUACUAAGCAAAAUCAACUACUCAGCUGCAGCAUAAAAUGCUUUUCUCAUUUGAAUCUGAGAACACUUUGGAACUGGAUGUUUAAAGAGAAUGUAUCCAUAUUUGUGAUAUUGUUAUGGCUAGAACAUUUUUAGGAAGGUUAGCUGUGCUGAUACCAGUACUUAGUGAAUCUGAUGUUCUUGAUCUCACCUCUGUCUGCUUUUUCAUCUGAACCAAGACUGUACUUGGGAAGGCUUGUUGAAAUCGUAGAUCUCAGUAGAUCUGUGAAAGAAAGUAUGGAAUGAGAAAUCUCUCAUUGUUCUGUAUGUCAUGAACUGUCUCGUGUGUAUUGCCUACAGGUGAGGUAUUCUAAACUGUAUUCUAAACUAAGUUUAUAAGCUCCACUGAGCUUUAUUAAUAAUUCUUACAGGGUAUGUAAUCAUUCAGGAGUCCUAGUUCUGUUGAGGCUCAUCAAGAAUUCAGAUAGGAGGAAGCUUGUUUAGUAAGAGCAGGUAAUGAAAAGUGUAGUAAAUGUAUAUUUAAACUUCAAUGCAAACGCUGCAGUACAUCUUUGUUGGCAAAAAGGGAUACGAAUAUAGGUGCAAAGAGUUCCCCCAAUUUAACUUGGGAGACUGGUAUAGACUCUUAAAAUAAACGGCUGACUCCCACUGUAUUGCCAGUCACAGUCAGUCUGGGUACAUUAUCAGAAGUAUUAAAAUGCUUUGAGGAAAAGAGGAUUAAAAAGGUAAAAGUUCAAGCACAGGCCAUUCAUAAAGCUGCUGUAGAUGGGCUAUCUUCUGGUCUUUAGAUUUGAAGUGACAAAUGGCCACAAACAGUGUACUCUCUUUCCAAGAAAGAAACACGAUCGCUUCACAUGAUACUAGUCCUUAUUUAACAUUUGGCUGUUAGACUGAGAUGUUAUUAACUUGUACAUAAACAUGCUGUUCUGGAAAGGUUCUUCUGUGCCCCUGACAAGUUCAUCAGAUCAUGGGGAUUCUUUUUUUAUUUAGGGCAUUUAAGAAUAAUAAACGGAUAAGCAGAUGAAAGCAGCUAGGUGACUGAAGACUUAUUUGGUAGUCUUUAAUUUUGUAAAUGUUUAGCUUCAUCUUUAGCUUUGGCUGUACAAUAGGGUGGUCCAUAGGAUUCUGUGCAAACUUACUCCUAGCUGUUAAACCCCAGAUCUGGAGAAUGAAUGACAAGCUUCCUGUGGUGUUUCCAACCUGUCACUAUAAGGCUGAUGAACUGCCAGGUGACUUGGCUGGUUGCAGUAGGUGUAAGAAUGUAAUGGGGUUGAGAAGCCCUGACUAUAUCCUGUGAUCUUGCUGGUAUUCGGCCCGUUUGGUAUUUCUGAUGAUCGGUUAUUUUAAACUGAAAUAUCACAGAUUCACAGGCAUACUGUUUGAGCUGUAAUGCUUAGUUUGGAUUAUAAAUGAUUCAGAAGCAGCUUUGGCUCUUUGGACCACCAUAUAAAGUAGCUGUUUGACUUUGUCUCUGUGGGGCUAAUAGACUUUCUUCCCGUAUUUUGCCUAUCUCCCACCAACUGAGAAUGGAAGAUCUAAUGUUAAGCCAAUUAGAUAACUGAUUUAGACCUUGAUUCUUUUUUAAUACAGCUGCAUGACACAUUUCAGCAUAGCAUAAAAAAGUGUAUAAAUUGUUCCUUUACAUGCAUCUCUUAAAAUAAAAUCAAAUUAAGAUAAUAUGUAAAUGAAUUUAGCUUUUAAAUGUUGCUAUUGACUUUUUUCACUUUCUAUUAACUGUUUUUGACCGCAGCUCUUGACAUGAUUUGGGGUUAACAAGCCAACUGUCACUGAUUAUUUCAUUCUUGAUCUUGUAAAUAAUGAGUUUGAUUAACAAAUAUAAUGAGGCUUUUGUGUGUGUGUGUGUGUGAUGUUUGAUGCGUUUUUAUGGAUAAAACCAGGCGAAAGAGGAUGAAGACUUUCAGUAUAAAGUGUUUGUGAGGCACUGGCAAACUUGUGCUUCUAAAGUUUUCUCUUCAGUUUAAUUAUUUCCUGUUGCAUUACAAUAAUGUAACUUUUGUACAUAUAUAUGUGCUUUACUAUACUGAAAAGAUUAAGGAAUGUUUUUAAAUUUUCAGGCAUUUAGCUUUUUCUUGUUUAAAAUCACGUCUGAAAGCUGUAUCUGCCCUUUUUUUCCCUCCCUCGUCUUUCCAUAAUGGAAGGAAAAAGAAAUAGUCUUGCUGUCUGUGUAUAUGCAAUUUUAAUAUUAGUUUUUAUUAGUUUUAGUUUCCCGGCCAGCCAAAUGAUACAUUUUUUCACAAAUAACCUAUUGCAACUCUCUUUAUAAUUAAACUUAAAUACCCUGGAAGCUGCACGGGCUAUGCUCUCAGAUUCGCAACACAAAGGACAGUGCUUCUGAAAGUAACUGGAUAUUAUUGGAAGUAAUUGACAAAUCUGAACAGUUGACUGAGGGGAACAGCCUAUAAGAGAACCUGAGCUGGAGAAAGAGUGACUGCAUGCGGAAGUGUUAAACCAUAGUCCAAACCAUAGAGCAAAGUUCUCUCUGUGAGUGCAGUAAUGAGGUCAAUUUCCAAUGGAAGAAAGUUUUAAAUGUGAUUUCAAGACUUUGGGUUUCCCCUCAGAGUCUACCAUAAACACUCAGCAAAACGUACUUUAGCUGUUAAAUUGCCCAUGCUAAUACUAACUUAGCAGUGGUCAAAGAAUAAACAUGUUUCAUUUUUAUUUGCUAUGUCUGAAGAAAAUUCCGAGACCAUUUGAGCUUAACGUUGAGAGCAAACCUAUCAAAGGGCAGGCCCGUCAGCAUGAGGAAACAGAACAGAGGACCAGAUUCUUAACUCAGAAAGAUCUGAAUUCAAUGAAAGAAGCAAGUAUUGGCAUAUGGGAUGCAAAGGAGCAGAAUAGCAGCAGCCUGUAAUUUAAAUGAAAUGAGAAUAGAGGUGUAAAACCGAUAUAAGAUGGCACUGUUAAAAGAAGAGCAAGAAUAAACACCUACAGUAGCAAUCCAGAAUACUGCAGUUUGAAUGCUUAUUCGCUAUAGAUACAAAUCUGU